AAGAAUAUGGGUCAGUAGGUAGAAUGCUUGCCUCACAUGCAUAAAGCCCUGGGUUCAAUCCCCAAGUAUUUCUA
rfam:Ictidomys tridecemlineatus contig081173, whole genome shotgun sequence.